GGGCUCUUGGCACAGGGGUAGCGCGCACGCUUCGCAUUGUUGGCAUUGCGUGAGGUCGUGGGUUCAAUUCCCACAGUGUCCA
rnacentral:tRNA from 1 species